CAGGGGUGUAGGUGUCAGGGAGUAGCUGGGGAGAUGAGGGGCAGGGGCACUAGGGGGGCUGUGAGGGGCCAGGGAGGGCAGUGACUGCAGGUAGAAGUGACUGAAGGGGUGUGUAUGGGGUACAGGUGUAAGGGGGUGACGGGGAGGAUCGGGGGGCAGUGACUGCAGGUAGAGGUGGCUGAAGGGGUGUGUACGGGGUACAGGUGUAAGGGGGUGACGGGGGAUCGGGGGGCAGUGACUGCAGGUAGAGGUGGCUGAAGGGGUGUGUACGGGGUACAGGUAUAAGGGGGUGACGGGGGGAUCGGGGGCCAGUGACUGCAGGUAGAGGUGGCUGAAGGGGUGUGUACGGGGUACAGGUGUAAGAGGGUGACGGGGGGAUCGGGGGGCAGUGACUGCAGGCAGAGGUGGCUGAAGAGGUGUGUACGGGGUACAGGUGUAAGGGGGUGAAGGGAGGGAUCGGGGGCAGUGACUGCAGGCAGAGGUGGCUGAAGGGGUGUGUACGGGGUACAGGUGUAAGGGGGUGACGGGGGGGAUCGGGGGGCAGUGACUGCAGGCAGAGGUGGCUGAAGGGGUGUGUACAGGGUACAGGUAUAAGGGGGUGACGGGGGGAUCAGGGGGCAGUGACUGCAGGCAGAGGUGGCUGAAGGGGUGUGUACAGGGUACAGGUGUAAGGGGGUGACGGGGGGGAUCGGGGGGCAGUGACUGCAGGCAGAGGUGGCUGAAGGGGUGUGUACAGGGUACAGGUGUAAGGGGGUGACGGCGAGGAUCAGGGGGCAGUGACUGCAGGUAGAGGUGGCUGAAGGGGUGUGUACGGGGUACAGGUGUAAGGGGGUGACGGGGGGGAUCGGGGGGCAGUGACUGCAGGCAGAGGUGGCUGAAGGGGUGUGUACGGGGUACAGGUGUAAGGGGGUGACGGGGGGAUCGGGGGGCAGUGACUGCAGGUAGAGGUGGCUGAAGGGGUGUGUACAGGGUACAGGUGUAAGGGGGUGACGGGGGGAUCGGGGGGCAGUGACUGCAGGCAGAGGUGGCUGAAGGGGUGUGUACAGGGUACAGGUGUAAGGGGGUGACGGGGGGGAUCGGGGGGCAGUGACUGCAGGCAGAGGUGGCUGAAGGGGUGUGUACAGGGUACAGGUGUAAGGGGGUGACGGCGAGGAUCAGGGGGCAGUGACUGCAGGUAGAGGUGGCUGAAGGGGUGUGUACAGGGUACAGGUGUAAGGGGGUGACGGGGGGAUCGGGGGCAGUGACUGCAGGCAGAGGUGGCUGAAGGGGUGUGUACGGGGUACAGGUGUAAGGGGGUGACGGGGGGGAUCGGGGGGCAGUGACUGCAGGCAGAGGUGGCUGAAGGGGUGUGUACGGGGUACAGGUGUAACGGGGUGACGGGGGGACCGGGGGGCAGUGACUGCAGGUAGAGGUGGCUGAAGGGGUGUGUACGGGGUACAGGUGUAAGGGGGCGACGGGGGGAUCGGGGGCAGUGACUGCAG